GAUACAGGAAUAGAUCAGAUCAGCAUUUUUCUCAUGAAACAGUUUUUUAGGUAAUCAUGAGAUUAAAAAGUAAUGAUAACUUAUGCAAGAAAACAAACACCCCAUGUUUUCCUUGGGCCUGGAGAUGUUUAAAAGCAACCUGAAAAAUCCUGUGAAUUUUUCUACAAAAAGCAAAUGACUCUGCAGGCAGCUGCCGCCAGGACAGAGAGCUCUUGCUGUGUAGCCGGGAGCAGGCAGCACAGGGAGGCUUCUGUCAGGUGGAGAAGGGAUAUAAGCUCCUCUCUGCUCCUGCCUCCCUCACCUCCACCUCCCUCCUGGCACUGCUGGGUCAGCAGGAAGGAGUGAAGGGCUCCAUCCACUGUCAUCUUUCCUUUUUCAUUAGAGCCUGACAACCAUUGUUUCUAGACUUAAAUGUUUUCAACUUUAAAUACAUACAUCUGAGCAGAGGGGUAGUAUAUACAAGCUUGUCACUCAGAGCCAGGGGGUAUCCACAGGAGCUUUUGGGUCUAGAAAGGCAUAUAUGCAUAAAAUGCAAGACAUAUUACAGAUGAUUUGCUUCUAUUUAUUCUCAAAGACCAAUGUGAAGGAGUUUAAGGGCUGAAUUCGUUCUUUGCUGUACACUGAAGUCAACAGAGUUAGACCAGGACUGUGUUUGGCAGUAUUUCCAUAUCCUCCAAUUCAGCAUGGAAUAUGUAAUCAUCUGACAGAGGAUUCAGUAUGUUUAGUUGUAUAACUGCUAGAACAGAUAAAGGAUCAGCCAGGCAAACAGUGAAAUAUGAAAACGGUUCUCGUAAAAACAUCCCAGCCUUGGGGCAUGCAUCUGCCAAGACUACUCCGUGGUGACAUGAAUGGACAUAGCAUUUAACUACUCUCCAAGAGGAGAGAGAAUUACAAGGAGGUGGGGAAAGCAGAAGAAGCCAGAGCAAUCCUGCCAACAAUAGCAGAACCAAUGGGGUUGGUAUUCCCAGGAUGGGGAGAUUUGGACAGGGUGCCAUAACUCAGCAGCUACAUGUGGGACCGAAAGCAGAGAGAGUGAGUAAAUGGAGGGGUUCAGUAAAGUGGGAAACAAACUGGGAACCUUACCCACAUUUCCAAAAAACAAUUUUCUAUGGCUAUUUAAGCUCAGUGCUACAAAUCAUAUGCCUUUGAGAAGUUCUAGAGCAUCAUCUUUAGUCCUUUCAUAACAAGCUUCCUUCUUAUGCAGUUAAUUUGCUCUUUUUUUUUUUUUUUUUGGGGUAUGACUGUAACUGAUAGUGUUAUUUUGCAAGAGUUUAUGCUAGUGAGACAAGCAUCCUGUGUGCCAUAAGCUUUAAUGAACACACAGAAAAAGUUCAAUAAAAGGGCAGUGGGAGCGUGAACUUCCUUCCAUGACAGUGUUUUCCUGUGUUUUCCUGUAUAACAUUGUAUAGCAUAAAGGACUGCACCUU